GACGAACGCUGGCGGCGUGCUUAACACAUGCAAGUCGAACGGAAAGGCCUCUUUCGGGGGGUACUCGAGUGGCGAACGGGUGAGUAACACGUGAGUAACCUGCCCUUGACUUUGGGAUAACUUCAGGAAACUGGGGCUAAUACCGGAAAGGAGCUCCUGCUGCAUGGUGGGUGUUGGAAAGUUUCGGCGGUUGGGGAUGGACUCGCGGCUUAUCAGCUUGUUGGUGGGGUAGUGGCUUACCAAGGCUUUGACGGGUAGCCGGCCUGAGAGGGUGACCGGCCACAUUGGGACUGAGAUACGGCCCAGACUCCUACGGGAGGCAGCAGUGGGGAAUAUUGCACAAUGGGUGGAAGCCUGAUGCAGCAACGCCGUGUGCGGGAUGACGGCCUUCGGGUUGUAAACCGCUUUCGCUCAUGACGAAGCUUUGUGUGACGGUAGUGGGUAAAGAAGCACCGGCUAACUACGUG
rnacentral:rRNA from 1 species